rnacentral:tRNA from 1 species
UGGGCCCGUGGUCUAGUCGGUUAUGACGUCGCUCUUACACAGCGGAGAUCCGGAGUUCGAAUCUCCGCGGGCCCAU